UCGAGGAUCUUCGGCAAUGGGCGCAAGCCUGACCGAGCGACGCCGCGUGUGCGAUGAAGGCCUUCGGGUUGUAAAGCACUGUCGAGGGGGAGGAAAGCCCGCAAGGGCCUGACCUAUCCCUGGAGGAAGCACGGGCUAAGUUCGUGCCAGCAGCCGCGGUAAGACGAACCGUGCGAACGUUGUUCGGAAUCACUGGGCUUAAAGGGCGCGUAGGCGGCUCGGCAAGUCGGGGGUGAAAUCUUUCGGCCCAACCGGAAAAGUGCCUCUGAUACUGCCGAGCUCGAGGGAGGUAGGGGCGGACGGAACUUCCGGUGGAGCGGUGAAAUGCGUUGAUAUCGGAAGGAACGCCGGUGGCGAAAGCGGUCCGCUGGCCCUCUACUGACGCUGAGGCGCGAAAGCCAGGGGAGCAAACGG
rnacentral:rRNA from 1 species